rnacentral:rRNA from 1 species
GACGAACGCUGGCGGCGUGCUUAACACAUGCAAGUCGAACGAAGUGGCGAACGGGUGAGUAACGCGUAAUCAACCUGCCCUUCAGAGGGGGACAACAGUUGGAAACGACUGCUAAUACCGCAUACUGAAGGAGGGGAUUGCGUCUGAUUAGCUAGUUGGAGGGGUAACGGGCCACAAAGCCGAUGAUCAGUAGCCGGUCUGAGAGGAUGAACGGCCACAUGGGGGCUGAGAAAAGGCCCAGAAUCCUACGGGAGGCAGCAGUGGGGAAUCUGUCGGCAAUGACGAAAGUCUGACGGAGCAACGCCGCGUGAGUUAUGACGGCCUUUGGGUUGUAAAGCGCUGUUGUUAAGAAAGCGGUAUUUAACCAGAAAGGGACGGCUAACUACGUGCCAGCAGCCGCGGUAAUAC